UUUCCAGUGAGAGACGAGUUGGGCAUCUCCUUAUCUCUGAAAUGAUCCAUUGAUUACUGCGCUCGUUUAUAUGAAGAAAAUUUUUAUUAUAAAAUCCACAAACUGUAAUCGUCACAGCACUCGACAUGUGGUCCAAUUGGAAGGCAACACAACAUAUGGUAUAUGGCACUAGUGCCUCAACAACACAACAGAGAACAUAGUACUACCAGAGAACGUAAAUGAAUAGAGAAGGAGCAAAUGUGUACUAAUUUGUAAUUCCUUUACGUUCUCUGGUACUACUAGAGAACAUAGUACUACUUUAUUCUUAUACAGAGACAAUGUGGAAGAGAGAGUGUGGGAGAUGCAGUGAGAGAAAGAUAGUGUAUCAUAUGAAGUGCUCGCCAUUCUGCUUUUGAGUAUGUAUUUCACUUGAGGGAUCGAAGCGAAGAGGAACCGAUCAAAACUUGAAAUUGUCGCUCAUACACUCCUUGCAACUUUGCAACUAAUUCAAUUAAUACAAUUUUUUCCGAUUUACACUUGCAUAACGUCGCAGACUCAUAAAGUCUAUGCAUGUCCGCCAGUAUGUCCGUCUGUAUAUACGCGAACUAGUCCCUCGCUUUUUGAAAUAUUGAUCUGAAAUUUGGCAUACGAAGACAACAUUCAACGCACUAUAGACGAAAUUCCAGCCGAAAUGCUGCACCGAGUCAUCGGAAAUUGGCGUAUACAGGGUCUAGUAAAAAGAGAGAGAGGUGAAGAUGUAUGGGCGUCACACGAGUUAGCAUGGACUGAAUUUCCAUAUGCGAAUCGCUGCUGAAUCACAACAAAUCGACUGUACCUAUUCAUGGCUAGUGAUUUUGCUGGUGAAAGAUUCGCUUGAAGAGAAACUAGUGAAAAUCGUCUGCCCCAGUUUUUUGCAGAGGAACGGUUUCUAUGAAAGUGGAAUUAUGAAAUUACCAUAUUUUUAUUAAAAUAACAACAAUUUAUAUAACAGAGCGUUAAAUCGGUUUAUUCUAAUACGCUAAAAAGAACCUUAAAUUGUAUGUAAUAAAUAUCUCUAUUUACUAGACUUUAUAUUAUAUAUUUUGUUAUAUAUCCAACUGAGAAAUGAAGCUUAUCCUACCAGACAAACUUCAAAAUAAAUUUGGUAUGAU